CACGCUGUAAACGAUGAUUACUGGCUGUUUGCGAUACACAGUAAGCGGCCCAGCGAAAGCGUUAAGUAAUCCACCUGGGGAGUACGUUCGCAAGAAUGAAACUCAAAGGAAUUGACGGGGGCCCGCACAAGCGGAGGAACAUGUGGUUUAAUUCGAUGAUACGCGAGGAACCUUACCCGGGCUUGAAAUGCAUGUGACCGGCACCGAGACGUGCCUUCCCUUCGGGGCAAAUGUGUAGGUGC
rnacentral:rRNA from 1 species